AAAGAGGAAAGAAGAGCUUGGAGGAAAGGAAGAAAACCCAUGGAGAAUCAUCAUUUUCACCACCAUCAUCAUGUCAUCUUCACUCUCACCUUCACCAAACUUCAUCUUCUUCUUCUACAAGGUGAGUUCUUAGACAGAUUUAGCAUUUGGGGGGAAAUAACCUAUAUUUUGGGGGGUUAGGAUUUGUGUGAAUUUGUGAUGAACUUGUUGUGUUCAUACUCAUCAUCCAUGCUAUGUGUUGAUAUCAUGUUGUUGUUGUUGAAGUUGUGAUCCUUGAGUGUGUGAUGAUUAUGUGUUUUGUUGUUGAAGUUAUGGAGGUUAAUCAUAUGAUUUCAUAACAAUAUAUGUUUUAGUAUGGGUUUGGAGGGUUGAAAUUGGAAAAAUGAUUCCUUUGUAUUUUUGAGAAUAAUUCACAUUCAAUCGAUUGAUUCAUUUGAUCAAUCUAUUGACAUGAAUUAAUUAUUUGAUGAAUUAAAAUAUGUCACUAAUGGGGUUCAAACCCGUGACCUCCUUGGUAUGGUACAAGCCUUACCACUAGGCCAAGGAUGUUGUUAUGUAUACUUAU
rnacentral:lncRNA from 1 species